AAGCUUUAUAGUCAAUAAAAUGAUAUUAGACUGCAAUUCUAAAGGAGUAUAUUUAUACUAAGGCUUA
rnacentral:tRNA from 1 species